AUGGAAAAAGAUAUAUCAUAUAAAAAUAACCAAAUGAGAACUUGAGUGACAGUUAAAUAUUAAUGUAAGACAAAAUAGACCUUAAGAUAAAACUUGUUACUAGAAAAAAUAAGACAUAAUAAAAGGCUCAAUUAACGAGGAAGAUAUAACUAUAAAUGUACAUAUACCAAACAACAGAGCGGAUUAUAAACCAUGACCAGGUGGGAUUCAUCUCAGGAUAGCAAGGUUUACUCAACACAUGAAAAUCAA
rnacentral:lncRNA from 1 species